AUACGGAGGGUGCAAGCGUUAAUCGGAAUUACUGGGCGUAAAGCGCGCGUAGGCGGUAAGGACAGUCGGAUGUGAAAGCCCCGGGCUCAACCUGGGAACUGCAUUCGAUACUGCCUGACUAGAGUAUGGUAGAGGGAAGUGGAAUUUCCGGUGUAGCGGUGAAAUGCGUAGAUAUCGGAAGGAACACCAGUGGCGAAGGCGGCUUCCUGGACCAAUACUGACGCUGAGGUGCGAAAGCGUGGGGAGCAAACAGGAUUAGAAACCCUUGUAGUCC
rnacentral:rRNA from 1 species